GCAUUCAGAUGCAAGGGAUUGUGCAGCCCCCUUAACUGACUAAUUUCCAAAGGCUCCAUAAUUCCUAAUAAUUUCAUUUCUGUUACUUUCUAACCUCAUUUGUUUUAUUCUUUCUGAGCAUUUUCUUCUAUGUAUUUUUCAUUGUUUACCCUUUAAUCUGCAUUUAUGAUGAUGCUUUCCAGGUAUUCCAUACUUCUACCUCAGACAGUUGAACAUAAAAUUGAGAAAAUAGCAUUUUAAAUCCUGAAAGCACUACAGCAAACCUUGCAACAAUGACUAAUUUACAAAAUUAAGGACACCUUACACUUCAGUCACUCUCUGGUUUUUAUAUCAGCUGUUAUUUAUUCAUCAUUGUCUGUUUUUGGGUGCCUUUUGAGCCCAUUAGGUUAUUCUCACACCUUCCUAGAGCUUGGUGUACCUGAAGACAGCAGGUGUCUGCAAUGCUGCUAUGUCAGUUCUAGGAAAACCAGCAGCACCUGCACCCGCCCUGGCUGUCUUCUUUAAAUUCAUCAUCUCCUCCUACUGAGAAAGGUUAUCUUAAAUUGAAGUGAAGUCAUCUGAUUAAACAGCAGCUAAGCUGGUAGGAGGAGACUCAGCAGUUAUGAUUGAACUGAAGUAGAAAUGAGCUAGAGACUUUGAAAAAAGAAAAUGGAAAUGGAGUGUAUUCCUCUGAAAUGGAGGCAUGAGGGAAGUGCUGGUUCCUGCUGCAUGUCCUUGGUUUAAGCAGAUGGAAUCAGUGGCUUUCCAUUAGCAUCUGUGGAGCUGUGUCUACAUCUGUUCUGUAGCAAGGACACAACAUCUGGAUGCAAUACCUCAAGGUGAGGCCUCACCAGUACAGGGGCAGGAUCACCUCCCUUGACCUACUGGCCACACUUGUUUUGUUGCAGCCCAGGAAAGAAAAAAGCUAAGACAGUCCUCCCCUUGCAGAAACCUAGGCUUUCUGGAGAAAGGAUGGUUACUCAGCUUUCCAAGAGGCUGAUGACAAGCUCCUCACCUAUAAGUACUGCUAAAAAUGAUGUAAUCUAAAAGCAAAUGAGGCCACCUAGCCUGAGCUGCCUGUGGAAGGUUUUUCAUCAGAUCAAGGCAGAAGAAGGAAGUGAAGUGUCGAGGCUGAGCCUGGGUGGCUGCAGUGCUGGCCCUGUGAGGAUGGAGUGAACACUGCCACCAGGAGCUGGCUGGAUGUGGUGCUAUCUGUCAGCUAUGAUUGAUGGAUACUGAUCAGGCAGAAGCACAAAUAGUGCUGUUGGUGCGUGACACCUACCAGGCUCCAUCCUGCAUUCUGUCUACUGCGCCAUGCCGUGCUAUCAGAGUGAAGAGCAGAGCAGGGCAAGGCUCUCAACAAAUCCUUCCAAAAGCUUGGGCUCCUUUUCUGUGUAUUCCUCCAACAAACUUUAAGAAAAGUUGAGAAGUCUGUGGGACUGCAAGCAGGACAGUGCCCUUGCAGCAGGGUCAGAGCUUUGUUUACAGUACUCUUCCCUUCCUCUGUCCAGAUUGGGGCCAAUGGCUGUUGAGGAGCAGCCCUGAGGGUCGGCGUGCUGCUGGCAAGCAGGGGCACUCAAUGGUACUGGAAACAGGUCCCCUGGCUCUGCUUCUGCUGUGGCCUCAAGGUUGUAGCCACUCCAAGGUAAUUCUCCAAUUGGGAUUUCAGUAAGCUGGGACUAUGAUCAGUGGAAUUUGCCAGAGAAAUGUGGAAAUAUUUCAAAAAUAAUUCUUGUAAUCUUUUAAACUACUGUUAAUUUAUGUGUUUUUAUGUUUGUUUUCUUCUUUGCUCCAGUUAAAGCAUUACUUAAGCAAAGUUUGGCAGUUGCGGUGUGUUACAACUCAUUCCCAUGAUCAGCAUGCAGUAUUGAGCCUGGUUUUCAAAUACUGUAGUUGCAUCUCUGGUUCCAAAAUCGUUAUGCUCCCCUCCAUAAAGUGGAGUUAGUAGCACAUCUGUUUCAUCUCUUAUCUCUCAAAAAUAAUUGGAUUUGGAAUUCCUUUGCAGCUGUGGGUGAAAAAGAGGCAGCUUGAACAGGAACUUGUCCUCAGCUUGGCCUCUAGGUGUUUGUUUCAGAUAGUCACAAAAACCUGUGCUUUCUACUUGCAAUAACUGAUGCCCUAUAUGUGUGUGUGUGUGUGUGUGUGUGUAUAUAUAUAUAUAUAUAUAUAUAUACACACACAUUUUUUACCUUGAAGAGCUGGUGAAAUCUAAGUAGAGAAACUGAGACAAAGUAGUACAUGUUGUCCAGCUGGAAAGCUGGUCUGGGCAAUGGGCUUAAGCAAUGCAAGGAGCCUGGACUGGGUUCCCGUUUAUGCCAAAGGGUUUUGGAUUAUUCCUUCAUAAGGAAUAAUUCACAGUUAAAUGUACA